AUUGAACGCUGGCGGCAGGCCUAACACAUGCAAGUCGAACGGUAACAGGAAGAAGCUUGCUUCUUUGCUGACGAGUGGCGGACGGGUGAGUAAUGUCUGGGAAACUGCCUGAUGGAGGGGGAUAACUACUGGAAACGGUAGCUAAUACCGCAUAACGUCGCAAGACCAAAAAGGGGGACCUUCGGGCCUCUUGCCAUCGGAUGUGCCCAGAUGGGAUUAGCUAGUAGGUGGGGUAACGGCUCACCUAGGCGACGAUCCCUAGCUGGUCUGAGAGGAUGACCAGCCACACUGGAACUGAGACACGGUCCAGACUCCUACGGGAGGCAGCAGUGGGGAAUAUUGCACAAAGGGCGCAAGCCUGAUGCAGCCAUGCCGCGUGUAUGAAGAAGGCCUUCGGGUUGUAAAGUACUUUCAGCGGGGAGGAAGGGAGUAAAGUUAAUACCUUUGCUCAUUGACGUUACCCGCAGAAGAAGCACCGGCUAACUCCGCG
rnacentral:rRNA from 1 species